rnacentral:rRNA from 1 species
GAACGGGUGAGUAAUGUAUCGGAACGUGCCCAAUAGUGGGGGAUAACUACUCGAAAGAGUGGCUAAUACCGCAUAUACCUUGAGGGGGAAAGAGGGGGAUCGCAAGACCUCUUGCUAAUGGAGUGGCCGAUAUCGGAUUAGCUAGUUGGUGGGGUAAAGGCCUACCAAGGCGACGAUCCGUAGCUGGUUUGAGAGGACGACCAGCCACACUGGGACUGAGACACGGCCCAGACUCCUACGGGAGGCAGCAGUGGGGAAUUUUGGACAAUGGGGGCAACCCUGAUCCAGCCAUUUCGCGUGUAUGAUGAAGGCCUUCGGGUUGUAAAGCACUUUUGUCGGGGAAGAAAUAGCGAAGGUGAAUAGCUUUUGUGAAUGACGGUACCUGAAGAAUAAGCACCGGCUAACUACGUGCCAGCAGCCGCGGUAAUACGUAGGGUGCAAGCGUUAAUCGGAAUUACUUGGCGUAAAGCGUGCGCAGGCGGUUCGGAAAGAGAGAUGUGAAAUCCCAGGGCUUAACCUUGGAACUGCAUUUUUAACUACCGGACUAGAGUAUGUCAGAGGGGGGUGGAAUUCCGCGUGUAGCAGUGAAAUGCGUAGAGAUGCGGAGGAACACCGAUGGCGAAGGCAGCCCCCUGGGACGAGACUGACGCUCAUGUACGAAAGCGUGGGUAGCAAACAGGAUUAGAUACCCUGGUAGUCCACGCCCUAAACGAUGUCAACUAGCUGUCAGGGCUUUCGGGCUUUGGUAGCGCAGCUAACGCGUGAAGUUGACCGCCUGGGGAGUACGGUCGCAAGAUUAAAACUCAAAGGAAUUGACGGGGACCCGCACAAGCGGUGGAUGAUGUGGAUUAAUUCGAUGCAACGCGAAAAACCUUACCUACCCUUGACAUGUCUAGGAUCCUAAAGAGAUUUAGGAGU